rnacentral:rRNA from 1 species
GCAAGUUGAGCGGUAAGGCCCCUUCGGGGGUACACGAGCAGCGAACGGGUGAGUAUCGCGUGGGUAAUCUACCCAGAGGUGGGGAAUAGCCUCGGGAAACCGGGGGUAAUACCGCAUGAGUCCUUGACGUCAUAAGGCGACAAGGGGAAAGGCGGGGCUCCUUCGGGACCUGUCGCCUCUGGAUGAGCCCGCGUCCGAUUAGCUUGUUGGUGGGGUAAUGGCCCACCAAGGCGACGAUCCGUAGCUGGUCUGAGAGGAUGAUC